rnacentral:rRNA from 1 species
CACGUAGGGGGCGAGCGUUGUCCGGAUUUAUUGGGCGUAAAGAGCUCGUAGGCGGCUCGGUAAGUCAGGUGUGAAACCUCCAGGCUCAACCUGGAGACGCCACCUGAUACUGCCGUGGCUAGAGUCCGGUAGAGGAGCGUAGAAUUCCUGGUGUAGCGGUGAAAUGCGCAGAUAUCAGGAGGAACACCGGUGGCGAAGGUGGUUCUCUGGGAAUGACCUGACGCUGAGGAGCGAAAGUGUGGGGAGCGAACAGG